GGCCAGUGAUGUUAGAAAAUAUUUGCUACUCUUGAUGAAGGACAACACGUUGUUCUUCACUGAUGAUUGGUUAACCACCAAGAUCUCUGAGGCC